UGUUUAGACAGCAGGUUGUAGUGGUGUGGGAAAGGAUUGGUAUGCCUGAAUUUAAGGACCUAGAGCGAUUAUGCCAACGAAUUGGUAGCCAAAAUUGUAUCGUUAUAAGCCGAAGGAAUACAUUUAGAUGACUCGUAAUCGGAGUAAUAGUAGAUAGCUGCCGAUCCCAAAGGAAACAAAACACGAAAGAACUCUGGCACUAGAGACCUCGACGAAAACUCUAGAAAGCUGCAACGGAUGAUCCCAAAGGACGAACCAUCCCGAGGACCAAAAAAGAGAGUUCGUGUCAUCGACGGAAGCAAACGACGGGGUCCCUUUGGUGACCCCGAUCGACACAAAGGAAUUCUCAUUUGUUACCUCGAUGGACUCGAAAGAAGCCUCCGACAAUUGGGAGCAAAGGAACUUCCAUUCAACAAAAAAAGCUUAAUUCACAAUUUUAAAAAAAACACUGAGGUAUGCCAAACAGCAAGCUUUGAUUUGUGGCAAUGUCAGGGCCCAAACUGACUAGUCAAAAUUCUGUGUGCUUCCAGAAAUAGCAACUUUGUUCUCUAAAUUUACCAUUAGGCAAAAGCCCGAAGACGCCAAGCUGGCCGACACAGGUGGUCGUGAACAGCUGGGUGAUCGCAACACAGGAGGAGGGUCCUGCCGAGAUGAUACACCCCUUGCUGUUAAUUCGACCUAGUGGUCUGAUGUCGGGCCAUGCCGAAAGCAGUGCGGGAGCGGCUAGGAUCAGCGGACCGACUGCAACGACCCGAAUCGAGAUACAGCCGAAUCAUUUGCGUUGGAUGAUCCUGUCACACCGCAUUCGUCGCGCGAUGUAUAACGAGUGAGGCGUCGAUAGGGAGAACAAAUAGGCAGCAACUUUUGGGCCAAAUAUAUCUGCAGCAGAAACAGAAAUCCAA